GACGAACGAGGGAGGAGGGAGGAACACAGGCAAGUCGAACGGAAAGGCCCUGCUUUUGUGGGGUGCUCGAGUGGCGAACGGGUGAGUAACACGUGAGUAACCUGCCCUUGACUUUGGGGUAACUUCAGGAAACUGGGGCUAAUACCGGAUAGGAGCUCCUGCUGCAUGGUGGGGGUUGGAAAGUUUCGGCGGUUGGGGAUGGACUCGCGGCUUAUCAGCUUGUUGGUGGGGUAGUGGCGUACCAAGGCUUUGACGGGUAGCCGGCCUGAGAGGGUGACCGGCCACAUUGCGACUGAGCUACGGCGCAGACUCCUACGUGACGCAGCAGUGGGGAAUAUUGCACAAUGGGCGGAAGCCUGAGGCAGCAACGCCGCGUGCGGGAUGACGGCCUUCGGGUUGUAAACCGAUUUCUCCUGUGACGAAGCGUGAGUGACGGUAAUGGGUAAAGAAGCACCGGCUAACUACGUG
rnacentral:rRNA from 1 species